rnacentral:rRNA from 1 species
CCCUUAGAUGUUCGGGGCCGCACGCGCGCUACACUGAAGGAAUCAGCACGUCUUUCUCCUUGUCCGAAAGGACUGGGUAACCCGCUGAACCUCCUUCGUGCUAGGGAUUGGGGCUUGUAAUUCUUCCCCAUGAACGAGGAAUUCCCAGUAAGCGCGAGUCAUAAGCUCGCGUUGAUUACGUCCCUGCCCUUUGUACACACCGCCCGUCGCUACUACCGAUUGGAUGGUUUAGUGAGAUCCUCGGAUUGGUCCCGGAGCGGCCUCUGGUCGUGCCGGAAUGCCGAAAAGAAUGUCGAACUUGAUCAUCUAGAGGAAGUAAAAGUCGUAACA